rnacentral:lncRNA from 1 species
CACAAACAUGUCCCUUAUAAAGUACAGCAUCCAUUCCUGUGCAUGAUAAGGAAUCUUCAAGAGCACCUCAAAUUAGCAUCCAAGGUUGGCUGGCUCCUGGAAGGUGGAAAUUGAAUGUUUCAAAGCAGCAGGUGACUUCUGAGGCUGAAGGCCACGCCUGAAUUCCAUCUACCUGGACUGGCAGGUGACGAAGGACAAGAGGACAGGGUGGAGCACUGAGCAUGUCUGGGCGCAGUUAGGAGCGGCUGACACCAUAACACCCACCUAGAAGCAGCUUCGGCCUGCUGCCCGCCUGGAGCAGGGUGCUCCCCAUAGACUGGCCAUGGAGACACCUUUGGGUGUCAUCCGUGAGACCUCGAAAAUAGAUUCCUCUCUGAGCUCUAGUCCUGUCCAACAUUGACUUCUACCCAACGUGGCAGAGCAGAAGCCACGUGGGAGACAUAAACGGAGCCCACACCCUUAGCCAAAGGCUGGCU